AGUGAACGCUGGCGGCAGGCCUAACACAUGCAAGUCGAGCGGCAGCGCGGGGGCAACCCUGGCUGCGAGCGUCGGACGGGUGAGGAAUUCGUCGGAAUCUGCCUUUUUGUGUGGGAUUACGUAGGUAAACUUACGCUAAUACCGCAUACGUCCUACUGGAGAAAGUGGUGGACCGCAAGGCCUCACGCAGAAAGAUGAGCCGACGACCGAUUAGCUAGUUGGUGGGGUAAAUGCCCACCAAGGCGACGAUCGGUAGCUGGUCUGAGAGGAUGAUCAGACAAACGGGAAGUGAGACACGGCCAAGAAUACUACGGGAGGAAGCAGUGGGGAAUAUUGGACAAUGGGCGAAAGCAUGAUACAGCAAUGCCGCGUGUGUGAAGAAGGACUUCGGGUUGUAAAGCACUUUUGUAAGGAAAGAAAACAGUGGAAAGAAUACCUUCGGGGGAUGACGGUACCGGAAGAAUAAGCACCGGCUAACUUCGUG
rnacentral:rRNA from 1 species